rnacentral:rRNA from 1 species
UACAGAGGGGGCAAGCGUUGUUCGGAAUUACUGGGCGUAAAGGGCGCGUAGGCGGCCUGCUAAGUCGAACGUGAAAUCCCUGGGCUCAACCCAGGAACUGCGUCCGAUACUGGUUGGCUUGAAUCCGGGAGAGGGAUGUGGAAUUCCAGGUGUAGCGGUGAAAUGCGUAGAUAUCUGGAGGAACACCGGUGGCGAAGGCGGCUAUCUGGACGGUUUCUGACACUAAGACUCGAAAGCGUGGGGAGCAAACAGG